GACGAACGCUGGCGGCGUGCUUAACACAUGCAAGUCGAACGGAAAGGCCCUGCUUUUGUGGGGUGCUCGAGUGGCGAACGGGUGAGUAACACGUGAGUAACCUGCCCUUGACUUUGGGAUAACUUCAGGAAACUGGGGCUAAUACCGGAUAGGAGCUCCUGCUGCAUGGUGGGGUUUGGAAAGUUUCGGCGGUUGGGGAUGGACUCGCGGCUUAUCAGCUUGUUGGUGGGGUAGUGGCUUACCAAGGCUUUGACGGGUAGCCGGCCUGAGAGGGUGACCGGCCACAUUGGGCCUGAGAUACGGCCCAGCCUCCAACGGGAGGCAGCAGUGGGGAAUAUUGCACAGUGGGCGGAAGCCUGAUGCAGCGACGCCGCGUGCGGGAUGACGGCCUUCGGGUUGUAAACCGCUUUCGCCUGUGACGAAGCGUGAGUGACGGUAAUGGGUAAAGAAGCAACGGCUAACUACGUG
rnacentral:rRNA from 1 species